rnacentral:misc_RNA from 1 species
GUGAAUCAUCAAAUUUUUGUACGCAUAUUGCACUCUCUGGUAUUCCGGAGAGUAUGCCUGUUUGAGGGUCAUUAAAAAGAAUCUUUACCAAUUUUUUUGGUCAUCGGAAUUGAGUUCUCCGCGUUUAUCGCGGUAGCUUCAAAUAAAUGGUCAAGUCUCAUUUUAGUCGAGACUCGUAAUAAUAUUAUUUCGCGAAAUCUU